AUCAGGCACCACAGAGGGGCUACCACAGAGGGGGCACCACACAGGGAACACCAGGCACUACAAAGGGAGCACCAGGCACUGCAGAGGGAACAUCAAGCACCACACAGGGAACACCAGGCACUACAAAGGGAGCACCAGGCACCGUACAGGGAGCACCAGGCACUACAAAGGGAGCACCAGGCACCACACAGGGAGCACCAGGCACCGCACAGGGAGCACCAGGCACCGCACAGGGAGCACCAGGCACUGCAGAGGGAGCAUCAAGUACCACAGAGGGAGCACCAGGUUCAAGUCUGUCUCUCCUCUUCUCCCACCUGAGCCAGAGAGGCAUGCACCAGGAAAAAAAAAUCAGGAAGGCACCUAGGGGCCUCUGAAUGGAUGCCUGUCACUGCUCAGUACCCAGCAUUCUCUUGGUCAGGAAUGAAGCAUGGGGCCUGAACUCAGGAUCUGGAGUUUUCUUGCAAGGGUGGCAUUCCAUGUGCUCUGCAGUUGCUGAUGAUCAGUCAGCUCAUCCAUGACCCGGGAGCUGAGCUGAAGGACACAGAGGAUCAUGAGACUGCACAAGAACCAGGACAGUGUAGAGUGGCCAUGCCCACAGGUGACACUGAGAUGUGACAGGUACA
rnacentral:lncRNA from 1 species